rnacentral:misc_RNA from 1 species
GAAUUAAAUUUUUUUUGUAUGAUAAUUUAGAGUUAACGUUUUUGGCGUAUGGAAUAGGAUUAACGUUUUAAACGAUAUUAGAUAAAAAUUUUUACGUAAGAGUAAAAAAAUGUGUUAUUUAAAGAAUAUUAGUAUAGAUAAUUAAAUUUUUUGUUUAAAAUUUAUGUUUUAUAAGUUUAUAAGUGGUAGAAUAAAUUAGUAAUU